rnacentral:rRNA from 1 species
UACGAAGGGGGCUAGCGUUGUUCGGAAUUACUGGGCGUAAAGCGCACGUAGGCGGAUCGAUCAGUCAGGGGUGAAAUCCCAGAGCUCAACUCUGGAACUGCCUUUGAUACUGUCGAUCUAGAGUAUGGAAGAGGUGAGUGGAAUUCCGAGUGUAGAGGUGAAAUUCGUAGAUAUUCGGAAGAACACCAGUGGCGAAGGCGGCUCACUGGCCUGGUAUUGACGCUGAGGUGCGAAAGCGUGGGGAGCAAACAGG